rfam:Asian citrus Psyllid, Diaphorina citri - Florida Strain, whole genome shotgun sequence.
GCCUAGUUAGCUUGGUUGGUAGCGCGUCUGCCUUGUAAGCGUUAGGCCGCGGGUUCGAUUCCCGCCCGGGGCG